UAGGGAAUCUUCGGCAAUGGACGAAAGUCUGACCGAGCAACGCCGCGUGAGUGAAGAAGGUUUUCGGAUCGUAAAACUCUGUUGUUAGAGAAGAACAAGGACGUUAGUAACUGAACGUCCCCUGACGGUAUCUAACCAGAAAGCCACGGCUAACUACGUGCCAGCAGCCGCGGUAAUACGUAGGUUGCAAGCGUUGUCCGGAGUUAUUGGGCGUAAAGCGAGCGCAGGCGGUUUCUUAAGUCUGAUGUGAAAGCCCCCGGCUCAACCGGGGAGGGUCAUUGGAAACUGGGAGGCUUGAGUGCAGAAGAGGAGAGUGGGAUUCCAUGUGUAGCGGUGAAAUGCGUAAAUAUAUGGAGGAACACCAGUGGAGAAGGCGGCUCUCUGGUCUGUAACUGACGCUGAGGCUCGAAGGCGUGGGGAGCAAACAGG
rnacentral:rRNA from 1 species